rnacentral:rRNA from 1 species
UACAGAGGGCCCGAGCGUUGUUCGGAUUCACUGGGCGUAAAGGGUGCGUAGGUGGUGAGGAAAGUCGGAUGUGAAAUCUCCGGGCUCAACCCGGAAAUGGCAUUGGAAACUACCUUGCUGGAGGAUUUGAGGGGGGAUUGGAAUACUUGGUGUAGCAGUGAAAUGCGUAGAUAUCAAGUGGAACACCAGUGGCGAAGGCGAAUCCCUGGAAAAUACCUGACACUGAGGCACGAAAGCUAGGGGAGCAAACAGG